UACGUAGGUGGCAAGCGUUGUCCGGAAUUAUUGGGCGUAAAGCGCGCGCAGGCGGUUCUUUUAAGUCUGAUGUGAAAGCCCACGGCUCAACCGUGGAGGGUCAUUGGAAACUGGGGAACUUGAGUACAGAAGAGGAAAGCGGAAUUCCACGUGUAGCGGUGAAAUGCGUAGAGAUGUGGAGGAACACCAGUGGCGAAAGGCGGCUUUCUGGUCUGUAACUGACGCUGAGGCGCGAAAAGCGUGGGGGAGCAAACAGGG
rnacentral:rRNA from 1 species